rnacentral:rRNA from 1 species
GAUGUUGGGUUAAGUCCCGCAACGAGCGCAACCCUUGUCUUUAGUUGCCAUCAUUAAGUUGGGCACUCUAGAGAGACUGCCAGGGAUAACCUGGAGGAAGGUGGGGAUGACGUCAAAUCAUCAUGCCCCUUAUGCUUAGGGCUACACACGUGCUACAAUGGGUAGUACAGAGGGUUGCCAAGCCGUAAGGUGGAGCUAAUCCCUUAAAGCUACUCUCAGUUCGGAUUGUAGGCUGAAACUCGCCUACAUGAAGCUGGAGUUACUAGUAAUCGCAGAUCAGAAUGCUGCGGUGAAUGCGUUCCCGGGUCUUGUACACACCGCCCGUCACACCACGGGCGUUGGAGACGCCCGAAGCCGAUUAUCUAACCUUUUGGAAGAAGUCGUCGAAGGUGGAAUCAAUAACUGGGGUGAAGUCGUAACAAGGUAGCCGUAUCGGAAGGAGCGGCUGGGUCACCUCCUUUCUA